CACUCACAACACACUAGUUUGUGUUUCGCGCCACACAGGUACUGAGUUAGAAGCUUCUCAAGCGUGAUGGGAACACAAAAAUCUAAUAUGUUUGAUACAGCUUACAAUUAUUUGGAGCCUGAAGAUGAAAUUCUUGACAAGCCAACACACUGGACUCCUAUGCAGGCAUAUAACAAUUCUGCGUCUACUCCGAUUCCCUUUUUAUAUCAACACGCAGCUGGUUACAUGCCUCUCUACAUGUGGCCAAACCAGGUAGUGAUAUACGUAAUAUUUUCCUAUUAUAUGAGGUUUCUUUCUUUGCCUACGACAAAGGGACACGUUUCUCAUAGGAACUGAGAUACUAGUUAGUUAAUAAAGGGGCCAUUUAUGAAUUGGCUAGCUAAUUAUCAGGAAAAUUAUUGUUUUUGUACUAGAGCAGUUCUGUAUUAGAAAUUGCAUGAUGGCAGUUACGCAUAGAAAAUAAUUGUUGACAGCUAUUU